AUACGGAGGAUGCAAGCGUUAUCCGGAUUUAUUGGGUUUAAAGGGUGCGUAGGCGGUUUGCUAAGCGGGAGGUGAAAUGCCGGCGCUCAACGUCGGAAGUGCCUCCCGAACUGGUGGACUGGAAUGACUCUGCCGUGGGAGGAAUGUGUAGUGUAGCGGUGAAAUGCUUAGAGAUUACACAGAACACCGAUUGCGAAGGCAUCUCACGAAGGGUUGAUUGACGCUGAGGCACGAAAGCGUGGGGAUCAAACAGGAUUAGAUACCCUGGUAGUCCACGCAGUAAACGAUGAUAGCUAACCGCUGGUUUUUUCGGAUCAGUGGCCAAGCGAAAGCGAUAAGCCAUCCACCUGGGGAGUACGACCGCAAGGUUGAAACUCAAAUGAAUUGACGGGG
rnacentral:rRNA from 1 species